rnacentral:rRNA from 1 species
AUCGCCGAAGGUGGGGUAACGGCCCACCGUGCCAGUAAUCGGUACGGGUCAUGAGAGUGAGAGCCCGGAGACGGACUCUGAGACAAGAGUCCGGGCCCUACGGGGCGCAGCAGGCGCGAAACCUUUNCACUGCACGCGAGUGCGAUAAGGGGACCCCGAGUGCGGAGGCAUAGUGCCUUCGCUUUUCUGGACUGUAGGGACGUCCAGGAAGAAGGGCUGGGCAAGACCGGUGCCAGCCGCCGCGGUAAUACCGGCAGCCCGAGUGAUGGCCGAUAUUAUUGGGCCUAAAGCGUCCGUAGCUGGCCGCGUACGUCCGUCGGGAAAUCCACGCGCUCAACGCGUGGGCGACCGACGGAGUCGGCGCGGCUUGGGACCGGAAGGCGCGACGGGUACGUCCGGGGUAGGAGUGAAAUCCUAUAAUCCCGGACGGACCGCCGAUGGCGAAAGCACGUCGCGAGGACGGCUCCGACAGUGAGGGACGAAAGCUGGGGUCUCGAACCGGAUUAGAUACCCGGGUAGUCCCAGCCGUAAACGAUGCCUGUUAGGUGUGGCACUCGCUACGAGCGGGUGCUGUGCCGUA